CCCUUAGAUGUUCUGGGCCGCACGCGCGCUACACUGAUGCAUUCAACGAGUUUCUUCCUGGUCCGAGAGGAAUGGGUAACCUUUUGAAAGUGCAUCGUGAUAGGGAUAGACUAUUGCAAUUAUUGGUCUUCAACGAGGAAUUCCUAGUAGACGUAGUUCAUCAGACUGCAUCGAUUACGUCCCUGCCCUUUGUACACACCGCCCGUCGCUCCUACCGAUUGAAUGGUCCGGUGAGGACUCGGGAUUGUGGUUUAGCUCCUUCAUUGGGGCCUGACUGCGAGAACUUGUCCGAACCUUAUCAUUUAGAGGAAGGUGAAGUCGUAACA
rnacentral:rRNA from 1 species